CCAUUAGAUGACGAAGAGAUGAUCUCCUACAUCCUCACUUGUCUCAACAUUGAUUUCAAUUCAAUUGUGUCUGCCAUAUUCGUACUAGUGGAACCAGUCUCAGUCAACGAGUUGUAUGCUCAGCUACUUAGCUUUGAAA